UUUGGAUUUAGGGUAUAGGUUUUGGGUUUGGGUUUAAGAUUUACGGUUUGGGUUUAAGAUUUACCGUUUGGACUUAUGGUUAAAGUUUUGGGUUUAGGGUAUAUAAUUUGGAUUUAAGGUUUACGGUUUGGGUUUAGGGCCUAGGACUUGAGUUUAGGGUAUAGAGUUUAGGUUUAUAGUCUAGUUUUUGGGUUUAUGGUAUAUAAUUUGGGUUUAGGGUCUAUGAUUAGGGUUUAGGGUAUAGGGUAUAGGGUUUGGGUUUAGGGGUUUGGAUUUGGGUUUAGAAUUUAGGGUAUGGGGUUUUGAAUUUAAGAUUUAGGGUUUAGGGUUUACGUGGAAGCGUUAGCGUCGCUAAAAUUAAAAUUUUUAUUUUUUGUAACUAUUUUUUAUUUAAUUUAAUGUUUUUUAAUUAAUAAUCU
rnacentral:lncRNA from 1 species